CGUACAUUUAGUUAUAGUUGAUAAAUACACAGCAUAUUUAUGCUGAACACACUGCUGUAAGGAGGUCAGAUAAAUCCUCAGACAAAGCCUUUUGAAGUUACGCUCACAGCUCAUAUCAUAUUCCAAAUAAAGCUGAUACAAGGUGCCUGUACCACGUGACUUUUUCGGCUAUGUGUGGGACAAUCGGAUGUCCACAAACCAUCGCUUCAGAACGCCAUUUGUUUGGGAACAGAGGUCAGAGAGGUCAAAACACAGUCGGGAAUCUCCAAACACAAAGCCACCCACGCACGGAAGGAAAAUAUUUCUGUUGCGGCAAACCUUUUCUUG